GCACUUUCGAACAUUGAAAAGAAAGGUAUGAAUACUUGAAACAUAUACCAAAGGAAUGGAUCAGAAUAUUUGCAAUAUAUCCAAGAGAAAGGUUUAGGAUACUUGCCUUAAAUCUGACUCCAGUCUCACAUCUCAAUCUCAUCUUUCCACUUUCACAAUCUAUGCAUCUCAUAGUCUCUAGACCAUCUCUGGCUAUACUCUAUCUACCGUACAUCUUCGCUUCGCUUACUCGAUUCAUCCCUUAUUCGCUUUGCAAUACCAUUCCGACUUUCUGACGUCUUCGAGCGUACACGUCUCGUCCAAAUCCUUUACGAGAAUAAGAUAAUACUAUAGUCACUAAACAAUAUAUCGCAUAUACAUAUCACGUAUAUCGAUACCCACUUAUAUACCCCUUUAAACUUAUCACAUAUCACUUAACACGUAAUCAUGCUUUGACUCUACCAUAUAGUCAAGUCAUAUUCCACAUAACAUAUUACCAAUCACUUAUCAUAUGAAUCCUAUCGAAAAUCCGACAUCGUCUCGUCUAUUUAUUAGACUAUCCACCUGUUAUCCUAUCUCAAUCAACAAUCAACCAACAAGAUCCAAUCACUAUAAUCCAUAUAUUCUUAUCCAAUAUCAAUCAACUCACGACACUAUGUCAUCCAAAUCAUUUAUCACACGCAUAUACUAUCAUGAAUAAACAUGUAUAUCACGUAGUCAUUAGUUAAUAGCAACCAAAUAACAUAUAAUCACAUUUUGCACAUUUAACAAAAAUUAUUCAGAUUCUCGACUCCAUCAUAAUAUUAUGUCAUAUCAAACUAGACUUUAUAAGCUUCUGUCUCUCUUUCGUUUCACUUGAUUCCGACUUACGGAUCAAAAGUUAUGAUCAAAACCGUUUUCUAACUCCUCUAUCGGCACAUAACACAUCAAACAGAUAGCAGACAACACAUUACACAUAAGGUUUCCCACCCCAAUUGAUAUCAAAUCAACUCUUGGGUUAAAAAUGAUUUUUCGGGAAUUUUCUGGAAUUUUUAAACAUUUUUCGGAAUUAAAAUCGAUAAAAGAAUCACUUUUCGGAUAAAUAAUCAAGUCCCAAAUACUUGAAAUUGGACUUGAAAUCAUUCAUAACCAAUUAUCGAGCCUUGAAUAUAAUUUGGAAAAAUAUUUUAAAGCUCGAAAUUAUUUUUCGAAAUUUUUAAAACAAAAGGAUAAUUAAAUCCAAUUAAUUAACCAAUUAAAAUCAAUUAAUAAUUAAUUAAAAUAAUUAAUCAAUUAAUAUUUAAAUUAAUUGACCAAUUAAAAUAAUUAAUUACUAAUUAAAAUUAAUUAAUAAACUAAUUUAGAUUUAUUUUUGAAUAAAUAAAUAAUUAGAAACUAUUUUUGAAAAUUAAAAUUAAAAAGGUUUAAAGUGUAAAUGUUUAAAACUUUGUCGCAGGGUUAAAACUGCAACAUUUUAAACGUUCAGGGGGUGUUUUGUCAGGAACGAAACCUUGGUGGCUCAACUUCACCACCUCCAAACGUUGAGGGACCAAACUGCAAUUUUUGCAGCGGCACCCCCUGACUUCGCCGGAGGUGGCGAUUCCGGCCACCUUUGGCUCCGAAACUCUCCAGAACCAACAUACCAUGCACCAGAAAUCUAUAUCAACCAUCAAUUGCAUCAAACUCAGCGCGUAUUGUCCGGCAAAAGAAAGAACAAUCCCGCCGGCGGCGGGACUGUUUUCCCAGAUUCCGGCGGCUCAAAACAGCGCCGUUCAUCACUUCCGAUUACACCUACACAACCCCUUUCACAUGCUAAACACAGGGGUGACAACCAAAUACACCCAGAUUAAGCCAAAAUGAAAACCCCUGUUUUUCAAUUUAAAAUAUUCAAACUAAACGAAGAACACUCAAGAACAUUCCACCUCAAAAUCAAACCACUGUUUCUAUAUGAUUCUGAACCCCAAAUUCAACAUAUAAUAUACUAAAACGACGAGAAAAACACGCUCUACAACAUGGCAUCAUCAAAUCAAUCAAACAAUCACGUUUGCAAAAAUUCAUAAUUUAAAUCAUAAUCAUUCGAAAUUUGUAAAAUUAAUAAUAAUUCACCUGUUGAAUCUGCACACAAACAGAUGAUUAAACUUGAUUCUACGCGUCGAUAUCUUCGUUUUGACUAUUCAUACGCCUCCAUCGGAUUUCAAUAACACCUCCAAAUCCUCGUUUGAUUACG
rnacentral:lncRNA from 1 species